rnacentral:rRNA from 1 species
AUACGUAGGGGGCAAGCGUUGUCCGGAUUCAUUGGGCGUAAAGGGUGCGUAGGCGGCGCGGUAAGUCGGGUGUGAAAUCUCGGGGCUUAACUCCGAAACUGCAUUCGAUACUGCCGUGCUUGAGGACUGGAGAGGAGACUGGAAUUUACGGUGUAGCGGUGAAAUGCGUAGAUAUCGUAAGGAAGACCAGUGGCGAAGGCGGGUCUCUGGACAGUUCCUGACGCUGAGGCACGAAGGUCAGGGGAGCAAACG